UACGUAGGGUGCGAGCGUUGUCCGGAAUUAUUGGGCGUAAAGAGCUCGUAGGCGGUUUGUUGCGUCGACUGUGAAAACCCGAGGCUUAACCUCGGGCCUGCAGUCGAUACGGGCAGACUAGAGUUCGGUAGGGGAGACUGGAAUUCCUGGUGUAGCGGUGAAAUGCGCAGAUAUCAGGAGGAACACCGGUGGCGAAGGCGGGUCUCUGGGCCGAUACUGACGCUGAGGCGCGAAAGCCAGGGGAGCGAACGGG
rnacentral:rRNA from 1 species